rnacentral:rRNA from 1 species
AGUCGAGCGAUGAAGUUUCUUAGGAAAUGGAUUAGCGGCGAACGGGUGAGGAACACGUGAAGAAUCUGCCCUCCACUUUGGGAUAACACCGGGAAACCGGUGCUAAUACUGAAUAUUGAAACAUAAGUGGCAUCACUGAGUUUUGAAAGAAUUUCGGUGGAGGAUGACUUCGCGCCUAUCAGCUAGUUGGUGAGGUAAUGGCUCACCAAGGCAACGACGGGUAGCCGGCCUGAGAGGGCGACCGGCCACACUGGGACUGAGACACGGCCCAGACUCCUACGGGAGGCAGCAGUGGGGAAUAUUGGGCAAUGGAGGAAACUCUGACCCAGCGACGCCGCGUGCGGGAUGAAGGCCUUCGGGUUGUAAACCGCUUUCAGUAGGGAAGAAGCGAAAGUGACGGUACCUACAAAAGAAGCACCGGCUAACUAUGUGCCAGCAGCCGCGGUAAUACAUAGGGUGCAAGCGUUGUCCGGAAUUAUUGGGCGUAAAGAGCUCGUAGGUCGUUUGUUACGUCGGAUGUGAAAACCUGAGGCUCAACCUCAGGCCUGCAUUCGAUACGGGCAAACUAGAGUUUGGUAGGGGAGACUGGAAUUCCUGGUGUAGCGGUGGAAUGCGCAGAUAUCAGGAGGAACACCAAUGGCGAAGGCAGGUCUCUGGGCCAAUACUGACACUGAGGAGCGAAAGUCUGGGGAGCGAACAGGAUUAGAUACCCUGGUAGUCCAGACCGUAAACGGUGGGCACUAGUUGUGGGAACCUUCCACGGUUUCUGCGACGCAGCUAACGCAUUAAGUGCCCCGCCUGGGGAGUACGAUCGCAAGAUUAAAACUCCAA